CACAUUUAGUUAGGAUUAGGGUUGGUAGCUGUUUAUUAGUUGCGUCUUAACUUUCCUCAUUAAAGAAAAAAAAAGUGGGGGCUGACUCCGUCGUUCCUCCAGCUAUUGGUAUUCUGCAGCAGCUGUCUGAUGGAGAUGAAGCUCUCUGACAAGGAUGGGCCGGAACUCCAGCUGCUGCACUCCUCAAACCUGACUGUGCAUCAGAAUCACCCAGAGGGGCUCGUGGAAAUCUGCCUGCCAGGCCCCAUCUCCUUUCCAGAGUGUAGGAAUCAGGAGAUCCAGGGUGGGGCUCAAGAAAGUGCAUUUCUAACAUGUUCUCCUCAGUGAAAAAAUGUCAUUUAUUAGGUCAUUUUAUUGCAUCAUAAUGUUUGGAGUCAUGACUGGCAGAUUUCACCUCCCCUUUUAAGUCCAGGCAGAGCCAGACACCAGCCCUGUUGGCUGAGGCAUCCGCCUUUGAUUGAGAGCCAAGGAAGAGCAAGAGGACAGGCCCCAGCAGAACGUGGCUGAUCUGCUGGGUAGACCAAGACCUUGGCGUUGGCCUCUCAAUUUCUGGUAUGAGAUGGGCCUGCUUAGGUUUUCUGCUUCUUUUUGAAUGAAUUUUGAAAUUUUACGUUUUCCUCAAAAAGUAUCCAUUUCGCUCAAACCUUGGAAACAGGAACACAUAUUUGUACAAACGAUUAUUUUAUAAGAUUUAAAUUUCCUAUAUAUAAAUAUCAAAUCAAUAUGUUGCAUACCUGAAACCAAUAUGAUGUUACAUGUCAAAUACAUCUCAAUAAAGAAAGCUAAAAAAAGAAUUAUAAUUUC
rnacentral:lncRNA from 1 species